UACGUAGGGGGCAAGCGUUGUCCGGAAUCAUUGGGCGUAAAGCGCGUGUAGGCGGCCAGAAAAGUCCGCUGUGAAAACUCGAGGCUCAACUUCGAGCUGUCGGUGGAAACUUUCUGGCUAGAGUCCGGAAGAGGAGAAUGGAAUUCCUGGUGUAGCGGUGAAAUGCGCAGAUAUCGGGAGGAACACCAGCGGCGAAGGCGGCACUCUGGGCUGGUACUGACGCUGAGGAGCGAAAGCGUGGGUAGCAAACAGG
rnacentral:rRNA from 1 species